ensembl:misc_RNA 7SK 7SK RNA
AUGUGAGGGUGCUCUGGCUGUGACAUCUGUCACCCCAUUGAUUAGAAGGGUUGAUUCAGCUGAUCUGGUUGGUUAGGAGGUGUCCCCUUCCUCCCUCACCACUGAAUGUGCUUCCCUCCCAAAGCUGCAGUGCUUGGUGAAGAAGACAGCCUUCCCCAACAGAGAUGGACAGGUCUCGGUGGAGGGUAUCAGACUAGCUGUACUCCCCUGCUAGAAAUUCCAAACAAGCUCUCAAAAUGUCUCUUGGAAAUUUGCCAGAUUUCAUAUGAAAAGAGUCAUUCUAUAUUUUUCCUAUAGAAAGAAGAUCAUUU